CGCAGGCUGGACGCACAUGGACAGAAGGUUAUGUCAGUAGUUUUAUAAAAGACAAGAAUUUACAGGAUGUGAACUUUUAUUCUGAUAAAUAUGCAAAUAUUUCAUAAAUUCUCUUUUACAGGUGAGAAAUAAACAUUGUGUCCUCAGGUCACCUGGGAGACAGCUCGGCAGUUUGGCUCCUGAUUCUGGAUUUGUCCAUUGUCCGUUGUGUCCACAGCUAUACUCCAUCACAAUGAUUAUUGACCCGUCUCUUGUGCUGUCUUACAUUGACACUGAGGAGGACGACUGCUCCAGGUUCCAUCAGAUCCACAGUCGACCUGAAGAUGAUCCAGAAUCUCACCGUCCUGAAAACACACGAGAGACGAGCAUCAAACACGGCCCCCCUAAAUAUAACACCAGAGGAAACCAUGUUUAUGUAUAGUGUGUUUAAUAUUUUAUACACACUAUAUAGCAUUUAAAUUAUGUAGAUAAAUAUACUAUAGUAUCUAUAUAAACACAUUAUAUAUAGUGUAUGUAUAAAUAUAUACUGUGUGUAUAUAAAAAUGUGAGUAUAUAAAUGUGUCUAUUAGUGUUAUACAAGUGAUGAGGUAAAGACCUUCAUCAGUUUGUAUCCGGGUGAACAGGUGAACAGGACGUGGUCUUUGAAGAAGUAUUCUGAUUGGACAGGAUUCAUCACAGUGUUGGACGGGCUCUCGGGGACUGGACACUGACUUCCUGUUAUGUCAAAAUAAAAUCAUCCAUUAAAACA